UCUUUAUACACUUUCUCUCUUUCUCUGAGGAGUUGGUUCUCCGUUUGCCUUUGGUUCUAGAGUUCCGGAAUCGGAACGGACAGCAGGGUCGCGAUCAACGGCGACACUUGGGUGCGACGUGCCGGCGCCGGAGGCCCACCUGGCGAGCCAGUUCCUGGCAGAAUGGUUCUCUCUCUCUCUCUCUCAUCAUUUCUUGAUCGGUGAUCAUCUGGACAUGGCUCUUUACGGUGAAAAGGAAUGGUAUUUCUUUACCCCAAGGCCGAACCGGGCAGCUGGAACCGAAUACUAGAAGGUGACCGGAGCGGAUAAGCCGA